GCUCCAGUGGCGCAACUGGUUAGCGCGCCGUACUUAUAGACAAGUAUCGUCCCUUGCUAGGAAAUGCGGAGGCUGUGAGUUCGAUCCUCACCUGGAGCA
rnacentral:tRNA from 1 species